rnacentral:rRNA from 1 species
AACGGCCGCGGUAUUCUGACCGUGCUAAGGUAGCGCAAUCACUUGCCCUUUAAAUAAGGGCCAGUAUGAAUGGCAUAACAAGGGCUUAACUGUCUCCUUUUUCCUAUCAAUGAAAUUGAUCUCCCCGUGCAGAAGCGGGUAUAUUAACAUAAGACGAGAAGACCCUGUGGAGCUUAAGCCGCAAGAACAGAACAUGUAAAUUCUUUUAAAUAAAUGAAACUUAUUGUAACCUGUUCAAGUGUCUUUGGUUGGGGCGACCACGGAGUAUAAAAAACCUCCAUGAGGAAUAAAGGCACUCCUUUCUAUCCAAGGGUGACAACCCUAUGAACCAGAAUAUCUGACCAUUUGAUCCGGCAAAGCCGAUCAACGAACCAAGUUACCCCAGGGAUAACAGCGCAAUCCUCUUUUAGAGUCCAUAUCGACAAGGGGGUUUACGACCUCGAUGUUGGAUCAGGACAUCCUAAU